GUCAUUAAAAGUAAAAUAAAUGUGUAGAGUUGCAAAAAAUUAUCGAUUCGUUCAUAAAGAUUUGUAUUAUUUGUAUUUAAUAACAACUUUGUAAGAAUUUAAUAUUUAUUCUUAUAAGUAUAUAAACAAGGCUGGGUGCGGUGGCUCAUGCCUGUAAUCCCAACACUUUGGGAGGCUGAGAUGAGCGGAUCACUUGAAGUCGGGAGUUUGAGACCAAACUGACCAACAUGGAGAAACCCUGUCUUUACCUCUUUGCAUUCCCUCUCUCCUGCGUCUCCCUGUCUCCCUCUCCUCCCCAUGCCCCAUCUUCAGGCAGCCGCUGACUACUUUCUCAAAUUACAGAUUAUUUUCUAGUUUUCUAUAAAUGGAAUCAUAUAAGAGAGUAUAUUUGAAAAGCCAAAUGUGGCCGGGCAUGCUGGAUCACACCUGUAAUCCCAGCAGUUUGGGAGGCUGA
rnacentral:lncRNA from 1 species